rnacentral:lncRNA from 1 species
UCCUCUUCAAACUGAUAUAUAGCUGCUAGGUUUCCGCCGAGACUGAAUCCGAAAGAGGGCCUGUUUCUGAUUGUAAUCCGGAAACGACUGCUUUGAUUCCCGAUUAGCCACUAAAAAAGGAAGCUGCUUUGAUUGCGGACUGCGGCUCGGAGUGGAGCCGCUUGAUUGCUUCGAUUGCCGGUCGCAGCUCGGAAUGGAGCUGCUGCUGCUGCUGCUUCGAUUGGGGGCUGCGGCUCCCAAAGGGGGAGCUGCUUAUUCGAGGCAUCCGACGGCGACGGCGAGAGAGUGGAGAUCUGUCAGAUCCCGGGUGUCAACUAAGCGAAUUUCAGAGAGAUCGAACUAGAGGAAGGGGGUCUGAGAUCCAGAAUUUAUAUGGAUACUAUAAGAUAUAUGUUUAUAGGGUAUUUCUUCUGCUCAAAGGCAAAAAUAGGAUCAAUUCACGCUACCUACUCAGCCACAGCCCGGCUCACUUAUAGGCGAGAAAGUUACAGUUCACUGUAGCGACAGCAUAAGGUGAAAAGUAAAACAGUAGAUGCAUCCGACGGUUGACAGCGUAAGUAACUUGAGCUGCUCGAUGGCGACCGUCCGAUGGGGCUCGAAGCGAUACCAGCUCGAUGGAGGUCGUUAACUGAAGAUGACACUUGGUUUGGGUUCAGAACAGCUGAUGCCUGACAUUGCCCCUGUCUGAGACUCGACGUGUCCUCACGGCGAUUAUGAGACUGAUCUCCAUGCUUGAGUUGUCGAACGAAAGAAUGCUGGAAAUGUAUGCUUUAUGAAUUCAGCAUCUUCCCAGGUAGCAUCUUCGGGUGCCAUGUUUUCCCACUGAAUUAGCCAUUGAACAACAUGCAGGUUGUGUCUUGGUACUUGUCUCACUUCAAGCACCAUAGCCGGUUCAGUUUUGAUUGAACCAUCCUCAUUGACCAUUGGCAGAUCUGGACUAGGGAUAGAUUUCUUCCCCAAAUGCUUCUUCAACUGACUGACAUGAAAGACUGGGUGUAUCUUGACAUGUGCCGGAAAUUGGAGUUUGUAAGCAGAGUUACCAAUUCUUUGAACUACACUGAAAGGACCAUAAUAUUUGUUCUGUAGUUUUAAGGCACCUCGAAAACCAAAUGCUGCUAGUCGGUAUGGAGCCAUUUUCAAGUAUACUAGGUCUCCAGGUUGAAAUUGUCUCUCACUUCUUUUUAAAUCUGCAUACCUCUUCAUCCUAUUUUGAGCUUGGGAUAAAUUUGCCUUGAGUUGAUCUAACAUGUGUUGUUUAGCCGAUAAAAAUUCCUGAGCUUCCAAGUCUUCUGGACCAGGGAUGGCCAAUUCAGAAAUUAAAGGAGGGGGAAAUCCAUAUAAAGCCUGGAACGGUGACAUUUUUAGAGCUGUAUGGUAAGUUGUAUUGUACCAAUAUUCAGCAAGGGGCAGCCAAGAUAGCCAUUUCUUUGGUUCCAAAGUGGACAUGCAUCUCAGAUAUGUUUCUAAACAUUGGUUGACUCUCUCUGUUUGCCCAUCUGUUUGAGGGUGAUAUGCAGAAUUGUAUCUCAACUCCACUCUAAGUGCUGCAAAGAUGUCUCUCCACAAUUGACUGGUGAAUAUCCUGUCUCUAUCCGAAAUGAUUAGCUUGGGAGGUCCAUGCAACCUGAUGAUAUGAUCUACAAAAACCUGAGCCACACUAUGAACAGUAUAAGGAUGUGAGAGGGCCAAGAAGUGGGAGUAUUUUGUGAAUCUAUCAACCACCACUAAAAUGACCUCUUUGCCUUGAGAAUUAGGGAGACCUUCAAUGAAAUCCAUAGAAAUAUGUUGCCAUGCCAUGUCAGCCACUGGGAGGGGGUCUAAUAGUCCAGGUUGAGGGCAAUUUUCAUGCUUUGCUCUCUGGCAAACUGGGCAAGAUGCAAUGUAAGUCUCUACAUGUUGUUUCAUGCCAGGCCAAUAGAAUAUGCCUUUUAUCCUUUGAUAAGUAGCUCUCAUGCCAGAGUGGCCUCCUACUGGAGAACUAUGCAAUGCAGCAAUGAGUUGUUCUUGCAAGUUUUUGUCAUUGCCCACUAGUAUCUUUCCUUUAUAUCUGAUAAUACUAGCAUGCAAUGUGUAAUCUGUGACAGUCUCAGCUUUCUGCAGCAGUAAUUUCUCUUGCAAAGCUUUUGUCACAGGAUCAUUUCUGUAGCUUGUUAUCGGAUCUUCAGCCCAUAAGGGAGUGACAGAGGAGAUAGCCAUACAUUUAGGCCACAUUCGAGACAGGGCAUCUGCCACUCUAUUAGUACUCCCCUUCUUGUAUUGGAUUGUGAAAUUAAAUUCCAGCAGUUUCAUCAUCAAUUUGUGUUGCACUCCUUCUGUAAUUCUUUGAUCAAUAAUGAAUUUCAAAGACUGUUGGUCAGUCUUGAUAAUGACACUGUUCCCUAACAGGUAGUGUCUCCAUUUCUUUAAAGCUUCCAGAAUAGCAAGAGCUUCUUUCUCAUAGGUGGAGAGUGCCGCAUUUCUUGGACAAAGUGCAGAGCUGUAAUAAGCAAGGGGCCGUCCUUGCUGCAUAAGAACAGCACCAAUGCCAUGACCAGAAGCAUCAGUCUCCAGAAGAAAAGGUUGCUUGAAAUCUGGUAGGGCUAAAACUGGUGCAGAGAUAAGGGCCUGCUGGAGUGUUUUAAAAGCCAGAUCUUGCUCUGCCGUCCACUGGAAUUGUCCCUUCUUCAGACUGUUGUGCAGUGGUUUGCAAAUAAUGCCAUAGUUCUUGAUAAACCUUCUAUAGUACCCUGCCAAGCCCAAGAAACUCCUCAGCUUAGUUGCAUCAGUAGGAGUAGCCACUGAGAUAUAGCAGUGAUCUUUUCAGGCUCUGUAGCAACACCUUCUCCAGAAACCACAUGUCCCAAAUACUGCACUUUAUCAACAGCAAACACACAUUUGGACAACUUAGCGUAUAGUUCAUUUUCUCUGAGAAUUUUGAGCACUUGUGCUAAAUGAUCCACAUGCUCCUCUAAUGUUUUACUAAAAAUGAGUAUGUCAUCAAAGAACACUAACACAAACUUUCUAUUGUAGUGUGCAAAGAGAAAAUUCAUGAGAGCUUGAAAAGUGCCAGGUGCGUUGGAUAAGCCAAAAGGCAUGACCAAAUAUUCAUAGUGACCCAAGAAUGUUCGAAAAGCAGUUUUGUGUACGUCUUUAGAAUUCAUUCUGAUUUGGUGGUAACCAGACCUUAGAUCCAAUUUAGAGAAUACUUUAGCUCCAUGCAGUUCAUCCAAUAAAUCCUCAAUCGCCGGAAUUGGGAAUUUAUUUUUGAUUGUGACUGAAUUCAAUUUUCUGAAAUCUGUGCACAGUCUCAUAGUGCUGUCCUUUUUCUUCACUAGAAGCACAGGGGCAGCAUAAGGGCUCUGGCUAGGUCUGAUUAAUUUGUUGUCCAACAAAUGCUGAAUCUGUUUUUCCAUUUCGUCCUUCUGGUGAUGGGGCACUCUAUAAGGUCUGGAGUGAGGGGGUUCCACUCCUGGCAUCAAAGGAAUUGUGUGGUCCAAAGCUCUACUAGGAGGUAACUUUGUAGGCUCCUGGAAUACAUCCUUGUAUUCUUCCAACAAUUGUUGGACUGCAGCUGGAAUGCAGUGAUUGGCAGGAGCUUCCAUUAUAAUGCUGUUCAAUUGUAUAAGAAAUCCUUGCACUCCUUUGUCCAACAUAUUUGGGAGUUUCUUCGCCUGCAUUUCUUUCACUUCUUCAUUAGUAUUGAAGAUAGCUGCUGUGACUUUAGUCUGUCCUUCCACUGUAAAACUGAACUGAUGCCUAGGAACAUCAAAAGUGACUGGGCUGACAAGGGUGAACCAGUCAUAACCAAGAAUAAUGUCAUGGCUAGGUAAAUCCAGAACUCUGAAAGAGUGUUGCAUUCCUAGUUUAGCAAUCUGGAAAGGGCAAUUUGGUACUACAGCUGCAGAUAUUAGUGUACCUCCACCCGCAACAGAAAUUGCUCUAGGUUUUCUGGGCAGCAUAUGACAGUUUGAUUUAAUUGCAAACUUUUCAUUCAUGAAAGAGGAGGAACUUCCAAAGUCUAGUAGAGCUACAGCUCUCUUACCAUUAACAGAUAUAAUUAUUGUUGGGGUUUGCACCGUUGACUGAUGACCCAGGGCAUAAGCAGAGAUAAACAUUGCUUGUUCAUGUUGCUCCUCUAUAUUUUCUGAUUGUUCUGGAUGUGGCUCUUCUUGUUCUAGUGGGCCAGUAUCUUCCACCUCUUGUUGCAUGAGAUGCACAUUAGGAAUAAGAGUGCAUUUAUGCCCAUGUACCCAUUUGUCGCCACAUCUCCAGCAUUCACCAGCUUUUCUUAUCCUCUGAGCAGUAUUGUUGACAUUGUCUGCAGAUUUAGUGCCAGUUGGAGCCUGAGGUAACACAGGAGUGUGUAGCUGUUUAGAUAAGCUGGCACUUGUGUUCUUCUGAUAGUAGCUGUUAUAAGGCACAAAUGCCUUUUUUUGAUUAACAGACACAGGUGGGUGACAAGGUUCAAUGUCCCUUGCCAAGCAAUAGGCAUCAGUGAUAGUUUGGGGUCUCAGUAGUCUUAUCUGAUACUUAAUGCCCUCUCUCAUGCCGUUCACAUAACACCUGACAAACCAGAGUUCAUUUAAUUCUGGAUUUUCAUCUUGCAUAUCAGCCAUUAGGUCCUCAAACUGCAUGGUAUAGUCAGAUACAGUGUUGUUGUUUUGUUUCAGAUUAUUGAACUUUUCUGUCAGAUCAUAAGUGCCCUGUUGAGAGAAUCUCUUCACAAUUUCUUUGCCAAAUUCUUUCCAUGUCAAAUGCUUUUUAAGCAGACCAGGCCUUCUUAACCAAAUAUCAGCAUCUCCACUUAUAUACAUCUGUGCUAAGGAUACUUUGUAUUCUUCAGGAGCACCAGACAUUUGAAAGUAUUUGUUACAUUGUCUCAACCAUCCCACAGGAUCCUCUCCAAAGAAUUUAGGAAAUUCCAGUUUAGGACCUUUUGUCAUAGCCUUCAUGAAUUGGACCUGCAUGUCCUGCUCAUAUGUUCUGUAAUAUCCUUGCCAUAGUUGCCUCUCCCUGUUCUGAAACUGUUGAAAUGCAGGGGUGUGACCUGGAUCUCUUUGGGAUAGAGGAGUGCCCACUUGACUAGUGGCAUCCAUUCUUUUUGAUUGAGCAAAUCCAGGUGGAACAUUGGGUCUGUUAGUGCGAAUAGGUGUCAAAUUUUGCAAGUGCAAUUCCUCAGCCAACCUAGUCUUUUCCUUCUCUUCCUCUAGCUGUUUCCGUAAUUGUUCAGUUCUGUCAGGCUGUAAAUGAGUAGUUGCUCCAUGCAGUGUAGGAGAUUUCACCAACUGUGUAGAACUAGAAGGGAUAUCAAUAGUUUGCCCCUGAUUAGUGGGAGGCACCAGUGUCUUGAACGCUGAACUAAUUGCUGAUAAUUGCUUACUGAGAUCUAACACAGCUUUUUCCACUGUACCUACUUGCAGAGAGAUAUCACCUUGUUUGGAACUGAUGGACUGCACGUCUUGAUGGAGCUUGGCUACCUCAGUGCGCAUCAAGGCACUCUCCUGCUGUAAGACGCCGAAUUCCUCGCGCAGAGCAAGCACCUCUUGCAAAUCGGCAUCAUCUAUGUUCUUGGCCCUGCCCAUCUCCUUGAUCGCGAGCAGAGAAGGGGAAUUUUACCACCGAAAGUACGGCAACCAGCCCCUGCACUCGCGAUCCUGCCGCCGCCUCGAAGCUCGACGCCGAUGGUACACGGAUCGGCGAUGGACGUGGGAUUUUACCGCGUGAGAAGGGUUCCCACGCAACCACUCCUCUCUACUGGUCUGUACCCGAAUAAUCAUUGUCGCCUGCGCCGCCAAAUCGCCGCCGCCGCCGCCAUGUUGGAGAAGAGACUCCGCCCCCUCAGGCCACCGCCGAUCUCAUCACCAUCCACGCAGAAAAGGGAGGGAUUAGGGUGGGAAUUGGCUCUCCUCUCGAUUUUCUACUGGGAAUCGGAAGUCGUUGCCGAGAAACCGAUGCUCAUGAUACCAAUUUGUCAGAUCCCGGGUGUCAACUAAGCGAAUUUCAGAGAGAUCAAACUAGAGGAAGGGGAUCUGAGAUCCAGAAUUUAUAUGGAUACUAUAAGAUAUAUGUUUAUAGGGUAUUUCUUCUGCUCAAAGGCAAGAAUAGGAUCAAUUCACGCUACCUACUCAGCCACAGCCCGGCUCACUUAUAGGCGAGAAAGUUACAGUUCACUGUAGUGACAGCAUAAGGUGAAAAGUAAAACAGUAGAUGCAUCCGACGGUUGACAGCGUAAGUAACUUGAGCUGCUCGAUGGCGACCGUCCGAUGGGGCUCGAAGCGAUACCAGCUCGAUGGAGGUCGUUAACUAAAGAUG